rnacentral:sRNA from 1 species
UGCUAUUUUUGGCAAUAACACACACAUAUCGUCACGUCCGGCAGGGUGCCCGCCUCGCGGUUUUAGACGCGGGAACGGGUUGUCGGUUCGGGAUAUGUGGAGGCUCAAC